UCCUCUAAGCAAAUGAAGUGAAGUUUGGGUUUUUUUUUUUUAUUGGUGGAUGAGCUCACGGCCCACCUGGUGUUAAGUGGUUAUUGGAGUCCAUAGACAUCUACAACGCAAAUGCGCCACCCGACGCCGCUCCGAUUUUUUACGACCCAAACUGCACGGACAAAAUAAUUCUACCAUAGGCUGGCGAGCAUAUGGCCCACCUGAUGGUUAGCAGUAGCAGUCCAUUCCUACUGCUGGAGACCCUCCGCAAGCCUCGUUUGAAGAAGGACUUGUCAUAAGGCUCGGGAAACAGCGAGAGGAGCACUCAUUCCAGAGAUGGAUGGUACGUGGAAAACAAAAUAUUUCUGGAAAAAUAUUGUGAAUGAACGCAGUGGUUCCCGAUAGCGUAGAUAAACUCCGCUCUGGUGGAUGGUAAAAAGGACAUGAAGGAAUCAUCCCGAGAAAACAAUUGCGCAGGGUUAUAAGACUACAAGAAUUUUAUAUCGGCGGCAGGGAGUGCAUUCGGCAGAGAUGCGAA